rnacentral:rRNA from 1 species
CACGUAGGGUGCGAGCGUUGUCCGGAAUUAUUGGGCGUAAAGAGCUCGUAGGCGGUGUGUCGCGUCGGCCGUGAAAACCUGCAGCUUAACUGUGGGCUUGCGGUCGAUACGGGCAUCACUGGAGUUCGGCAGGGGAGACUGGAAUUCCUGGUGUAGCGGUGAAAUGCGCAGAUAUCAGGAGGAACACCGGUGGCGAAGGCGGGUCUCUGGGCCGAAUACUGACGCUGGAGGAGCGAAA